ACCGUGCAGUUGCAAGAAAAGUACAGAAUAGUAAUUUCCCUAUGUCCUCUUUUUUUCUUUUUUCAAUUCCCUCUGAUGUAGAAUUUGAAAUCCUACAAUUCUGCAACUCACACUACUACCCAAUUCCCAUUCACCCGUAGCAAACAAAAUGGAAGAACCAAUGCUACACCUUAUAAUGGAAAAAGGUCCACUUUCUGGUCAAAAUCUAGACUACAAACCCGGUUCAAAGAUCCACAUUGGUCGGGUCAUCCGUGGCAAUACAAUCUCUAUCAAAGACCCCGGUAUCUCCUCUAAACACCUCAGUAUCCAUUUCGAAUCCGGGUCAUGGGUCAUCAAUGAUCUCGGAUCCUCAAACGGUACAUUUCUCAACACUAUCGCAAUUGACCCGUCUCAACCCACUAAACUUACAGACGGUGAUGUUAUAAAAAUCGGCGAAUUGACGUCAAUUAAAGUCAAAAUUUCAGCAAUGGAGGUUGACCCAGUUGAAGAAAUUGAGCCUAAGGGUAGAAAUACUCGACGAAACACGAAGCGUAAGGCGGGAUUGGGGGUGAUUGAUGAAAAUAGUGAGCUAGGGUUUGGAAAUGUGGGUCCCAAAAGAACGACUAGGAAUGCUAAGAAUUUGAAAAUUGAGGUUGGAAAUGUGGAUGAAGUUGAGAACUUUACUGUAAUUGAAGCUGAGAAAGAGGGGAAAGGGAAUUCGAGGAAAACUCGAGGUUCUAAGAAAGUAGAGAGUGUGAAUGAAGCUGAGAAUAUUGAUGUAGUUGAUGUUGAAAGAGAGAAUAAACUGUGUUCGAAGAGGACUAGGGGUUCGAAGAAAGUGGAGAGUGUUAAAGAUGUGGAUGAUGGUGUGGAGGAAGCUGAGAAUAUUGAUGUUGAAAGAGAGACUAAAUGUCCGAGGAGGACUAGGGGUUCUAGGAAAGCGGAUAGUGUUAAAGAUGGGGGUGAUGAUAUGGAGGAAACUGGAAGUCUAGUUGUAGUUGAGGUGGAGCAACAAAGGAAACCUAGUCCGAGGAGGACUAGGGGUGGUUCUAGGAAAGUGGAGAGUCUUGGUGUAGUUGAUGCAGAUAGAGAGAGGAAACCGAGUCCGAGGAGAACUAGGGGUUCUAAGAGAGCACAGAAUGUGGAAGAAGCUAAGAAUUUUGUAGCAAUUGAUGUAGAGAAAGAGAAGAAAGUGUGUACGAGGAGGACUAGGGGUUUAAGGAAGGAGAAAGACGUGGAAAAUGUCCAUGAAAAUGUAGGUGAAUGCAUGGAAUUGAAGCAACUUGGGAAUGGGAAGGGGAAGGGGAAGGGAAGCACUACAACAACAGUGCGUUCGGAGGAAGAUGGGGUGAUGGAGAAGUUGGAAAGAGACCAAAAAGAUUGUGAAGAAACAGUAGAGGACAAUGCCGAUAAAGGAGUUGAAAGAAAUGUGCUUGAGGAGGUGUCAGUUAGUAAUGUUGGUGGUGCAAACCCGAGUGAAGUUCCAAUGGAGGAGGUUGUGGAUUUAGAGAAAAUGACACUUGGAGAGUGGUUUGAUUAUUUGGAGGUUAAUUUGCCAGAACAAAUAAUUGAUGCCACUGAGGAGAUGAUUUUAGGUAUGAAACAGAAAGCAGAGAGAUUUCAGGAGUUCAUGUUGCAGCAGAAGAAUGCAAAUGAUUGUGAUGGAAUACCAAAGGGUUAGACCGAGGAAUCAGUAGUGAGGUUUACAUUCUUAGGUAAUUUUCUUUUGCAUUGCUUGUUUCAGGGGAAUUCAUUUUCUAGAAAUACUUGAAUUUCUUAUUUGCAUAAAUGCUAUUCUAUUAUAUCUGUGUAUUGUGAGCCCUUGUUUACUUACAACAACUGAAAAAUUCUCAUUUAGUUGAAGCAAUUAAGAUGUUGAUAACAAACACUUUUGUUUUGUUAUUAAAUUCCUUUUCUUUAAUGUGAGAAUUAAUCUGAUGCAUAUCUUAGUCCAAUGCUCAAUGACUUCUGAAGUUUAAAACAUGGAUGAUUAUCAUCUGAGUUAUGUCAAUAUAGUUUAGGAGACCACGGAAGUCCAAAACAAUGUCUUGGGGGGCACCAAAAGUGGGAUACCGACCUGUUAUUUCCAAUUCUAAUAUAAUACAGAAUAGAUAGGCAUUAGCAUUUGCAGUGAGCCAGUUGCAUCUUAAGUACAAUAUUGUAUGGUCCAGAAUUUAGCAGAAUUUCUUGUAGGGGCUGUAGAAGGAUAUAUUGACAUUGUUGUUUGCUGCAUCUGAGAAUGCUUGAAAGAAACUGUAACAGAUUUAUUUCUUAGCUGGCACUAGUUAAUAUCACUGCUUUCCUUUAUGUCUUUCCCUAUGCAUCUUAAAUAGAUUCCGGAUUAUUACCUGCCGUGAACUUUUAUUUUAUGUACCAACUACCAGCCAUUUCCUAUAUAGUUUGUUCCCUGGAACUGUAGAGUUUGUUGCUAUAUUAAGGAAAUAUGGGUUGUUGACACAAACAAACUGAAAUAGGGGGCAUCCUCUGAAGAUAAAAUACCCUACUUAGACAAAAUGAUCCGAAAUUUAUAGACUGCUAAGCAUCUGUUGACAUACUGAGUUGGGAUUUGAAUUUGUUAUUCCUAAUUGUUUGGCUGUUGAUCCUCGUGGAGGUGGCAUCUACCAUUGGCUACUGUUCUGUGUUGGUGAAAGAAAAAAAUAGUAUUAUCAAUUCUUCAGGAUAAUGGAAUAUCUGAAAUUGAUAUUUGCUCUAAAUUAGGCCGUUCCACAUAAAUAUGAUAAAAUUAAAUCACUUGCCUCAAUGUGUCAGUGGUUGGCGGUGUUGCAUUAGCUCCUGUAGUAACUGCAUUACUUUUAACAUCCAGAGUAGACUGUGGCAUAGGUUUACUUCGAUACAGUAAGCUUAAGUAAAAUAUUAUAUGAUCAAGAGUUUUGCAGAAUUUCUAGUUAAGGGCUGUAGAA